UUACAUCAGCAGUCAUCUCCAUGAUAAAGUGUGGAUGGCACCACCUUGCCAGGUGCCCAGCUUGGACAUCCUCCAAAACCUAGUGGCUAAUACACGUACGAAACNGUCUGCUGCACCCAUGGCUCUGUUAGCACCACCGUGUGACUGGCUCUGCCAGUAGUGGAUUGCACCCAGCUGCUGAGAAGACCAGCGCCUGGAUAGGGCAGUGUGUUGUAGCUGACUCAGGCUGGUCCCAUUGUGGACAGUUGCACUGGCGGGAUGGUGGCUUCCAAGCCACAGCACUGCUUGAUCACACGAACUUCUGACCUAUCAGCUUGGACUGUGCUGUAGUGGACCACAGUGGCAGUGACGGGUAACAGGGAAUCAGGGUUUGAUUCUGGAGAGGGAGCCUGAGAGACGGCUACCACUACCAAGGUGGGCAGCAGGCACGCAAAUUGCCCAAUGCUGACACAGUCUGGUGAGGCAGCGACGAACUGUAGCAAUCCCGCUGGUCCUCAGUGGCUAGUGGGACUUGGAAUGGAUGCNAUCCAAACACAGNNAUGAGUANCAANUGGAGGGCAAGUCUGGUGCCAGCAGCUGCGGUAAUUCCAGCUCCAUUGGCGUAUACUAACAUUGCUGCUGUUAAAACACUCGUAGUCUGCCACAGGGUCCAGGUCUGGCAGAUGGCUGGCCUGUGGUGCUUCGGCAUUGCAGGCUGGGUAAAACCUCUGUCAGUAUGUCCUGGUCCCAACACUGGAUGCUGAGAUGCUCCUGCAUGAAGCCCUCUUAAGUGAGGGUCAAGGCUAUUCUGCAGUCAGCGCUUGUCUGGGCAGUUCAGGGGCGUAACCUCGUGUUGCCAAUCCUACCCUGGCCCAUAAUCGGAGUUCAGCAUCAGAGCAACCCUGGUAAACUCAGUGUGCUUCAAGCAACCGUUCUGGCUUGUAUGCCAUCCAGUGAAUUGCAGAGCAGCGAUCAGACUUGGCUAAGAGUUGUGCUGGCCUUGGUGCCAAAUCUGAGCAAUGUGGGGCUUCCCCCUGACUGUGGCCUAGCCUCGGCGACAGCCUAUGCCCAGGUGGGGAGUCACCAACCGGACAUGAUGGAAGAGUUCAGAGUGGAAGAUACUGCAGCGCCAGAGGUGAAAUUCUUAGACCGCUGCAAGAUCAACUGCAGCGAAGGCGUUCUGCAAGAGCUCGUUCGUCGAUCAAGAAUGAGAGUGUGGGGAACAAAGAUGAUCAGACACCGUCGUAGUCCACUACAGUAAACCAUGCCAGCCAGGCUUUGGUGAGGCAAGAACCUCUACUUCAUCAGUGCCAUGCCCCCUACACCGAGAAAUCCACAGCCUGUGGNUUCAGGGGGGAGUACUGUCGCAAGGCNGAAACUUAAAGGAAUUGACGGAAUGGCACCACNAGGCGUGGAAUAUGCGGCUUAAUUUGACUCAACACGGGGAAUGUUACCAGGUCAGGACACUGCAAGGAUGGACAGAUUGAGAGCUCUUUCUUGAUUCUCUGGAUGGUGGUGCAUGGCCGCUCCUGAUUGGUGGAGUGAUUUGUCUGGUUGAUUCCGAUAACGAGUGAGAUCUCUGCCUCCCAAUAGCCCCUGUCUCGCAUUUGGUAGAGUGGGCAUAGCCAAUCCCCAGUGGGUCUCGGCCCAUCUGGGGAGGCUACUGCUGCUCGAGAGUACCAGGGCCAAGCUUCUCUGAGGUGCUGUGUGCGCCACCAAGCACAUGCAUGCUAGAGCCAACAGCAGGUCUGUGAUGCUCCCAGAUGUCCUGGGCCGCACGCGCACUACAUUGGUCCAGUGAAUAUGUGAUGCCACUCGCUCGUCGAGUCCUGCCUGGAAGUGGGUGGGAAACCCUUGGAGCCUGGUCCGUACUGGGGAUAGAUGCUUGCAACUGUCUGCCUUGAACGAGGAAUGCCUAGUAUGCGUGAGUCAUCAGCUCACACAGAUUAC
rnacentral:rRNA from 1 species